rnacentral:rRNA from 1 species
UACGUAGGGUGCGAGCGCUAAUCGGAAUUACUGGGCGUAAAGCGUGCGCAGGCGGUAAUGUAAGACAGAUGUGAAAUCCCCGGGCUUAACCUGGGACCUGCAUUUGUGACUGCAUUGCUGGAGUGCGGCAGAGGGGGAUGGAAUUCCGGCGUGUAGCAGUGAAAUGCGUAGAUAUGCGGAGGAACACCGAUGGCGAAGGCAAUCCCCUGGGCCUGCACUGACGCUCAUGCACGAAAGCGUGGGGAGCAAACAGG